GGUACGUCAGAGAUUGAAAGGAAGAAGAGGAGGUGGAUCAGCGAGCUCUUCCAUGGCAAUACUUCCACCUGAGAGAUCACCAGAUUGAGGAGAUGGGAGGAGUUGACAGCACCGGUGCAUCAUUUUAUCAUGGUAUCUAUUUUCUCAUUCAGGUGGCAAUCAAAUCUGAGCCGGGAUAGUUUGCUGGAUUAGUUAUCUAGGUAUUUUUACUCUGGCUCUUGUUCAGAUACAUGGUUCAUAGAUUCAGUUCUAGUAUUGUCAUUUUGUCAUGAAAACAACUACUUUGUAGAUGUUUGAUGGGGCGGAUGGUCCUGCUAUGUUCGAUAAUUGUCUGCUCCUUAGUUAUAAGUUGUCAUGCGGUCUGAAUUCGAGUAUAUUGCUAUUAACAGCUGCAAUAAGUCGAGUACUCUAGGAGCCAUUUUGUCGUUCAUCUAUUUUCUCAUUCAGUUGGCAAGCAAAAUUCUCAUUUAGUUGGCAAAUCCGAGCGAGGAUAAUUUGAUGGACUAGUUAUCUAGGGUUUUUAGUUUGAUAUAUUUUCAGAUACAUGGUCCAUAGUUUCAAUUUAAUUUCUAGUAGGUUAUUUUGUCAUAAAACACCUAGUCAUAGUUUCAUAAAACCUAUAUUCUUAUCUAUUGGUUACUUUAGCUAAUCUUUUCUAUAUGCUCAUACAAGUUGUGGAUUUUGUGCAGAUCUCGUAGCACUGAAAAGUAUAGUUUGCUUCAUAGCAGGGAGCAUCAUCUUUUCACUCAUUGGUACAAUGUGUCUGACUGUAGGUCGUCAUCACUGCAUGUUGAUAGUUUUGACGAAAGCAACUCAUCUAGUGAUGAUAUAGCAGUUAUUAGCUUGCAAAACUCCACAUCUGAUUUUGUUUCAUAGUUUGUUCUCUUUUGGUGUUCUUAGUUAGUUGAAAUGUUUGCAUUUUAUAGGGCGUUUUCAAUUUAAGUAGGAAGAGACUUUUUAGAUGACGCCUUGUUUGAUUCUUUUAGCAAAGAGGUACUGAUAGUCUGAUACUAUGAUCACAAGCGAGCUAGAUGCAUGUUCUAUUUUUUUAGCAAAGAGGUACUCAUUUUCUUAGUCUUAAUUAUUUUGAUUAUCUUUUUCCCUCAACAUUUCAAUCAUUUUUUCUCAUUCUCUCAGUUUUCCAGUCUUUCAUUCUUAAUAUAUUUUCAUUUUCCCAAUUGAUUUUUUUUUCAUAAUUUAUUCACACAGUCAUCUCAACAUUUCUUCAGUCUUUUUCUCAAUCUUCUUUGUUCAGUAUCUCAGUCGUCCUUUCAUUCACUUAGUUAUUUAGUCUCUCAGUAAAUUUUUCUCAUAUUUGCCCAGUCACAUUUUUUUCUCAGUCCUUAUUUUAUUUUUGUCCUUCUUUCGAUUAUUUCUUCAUUCUGCUCCGUUUCUUCAGUCUCACUGUUUCGUAGCUCUUAUUUGUUCAGUCUUAUCGGUCUCUUUUUCCAGUAGCUCAGUCUGUCAGUUUAUCUAAGUUUCAGUGCUAUCUGCUGAGUAUGUCUUCUCUCAGUAUUAUUAUUCCCGGUUUCUCGGUUUAGAAAAUAUUUGUUCAGUCAUAUUUCUUCAGUUUAUCUCAUAUUUGCAGUCUUAUUUGCUCAGUCGUUCUUCUCUCAGUCUUAUCUUCAGUGUUGAGUAUUCUUCAGUUCUCAGUCUUCCUCUAAGUUCUCAUUUUCUAUAUAAUGACCUUAGUCCUCAUCAUUUCCAGUCCCUAAGUUUCUUAAUGUCUCAACCUGUUAUUUUCAUUUAUCAUUUCUUCUCAAUGCAUUUAUAAGAUCUGGUCACGUUUCGUGCAUUUAAAUUUGACACACUCUAUUUUCUACACCUCCAUUCCAGAAGCUGAUCGCAAGGGACCUGCCUGAUAAUGAAUGGAGAUUUCGCCGCAUAUUCUGUGUUCCCACCUUGCAAAGCUGGUGAAUGGUGAUGCAUUGAAUUCUGUUGUGUGUGAUAUCUUUGAAUCUUAGUUGGCCAAUUCUAUUAGACUUUGGCAUCUCCUGGCUGCAGGUUUGGAGUGUCUUUGUAAGUGUUAUAUUCAUCUAAUUCCGGCUACUUAACCAAUUUUUUUACUUUUAGCCUGGUUGUUGUUUAUAUUACACUAAAUACUUCCCCAUGUUUGCCAGAAAUAAUAAUAACCAACUUCUCUUCGAUUCGUCACUCAAUCGUCCUCAGACAAUUAUGUCGUAUUCUGUGCUAUCAAGCAAUACAUGCCAUAUAGGCCGUCUUGCAGCGGCUGCUCAUGAUGCAGCCAGAAACAGUCAUUUCACUAUUUUCUAUGACACUCGGUACAUUCAUUACAAUCCCGUUUGAACAAAUAUACCACCUUAUUUCUACAUCUAAUUAACAUUGGCAUUGUUUUAUCGGGGCUAGUCCUUCUGAAUUUAUCAUUCCACUGGCCAAAUAUGUAUAUCUGUUUACCAC